rnacentral:rRNA from 1 species
AACGAACGCUGGCGGCAUGCCUAACACAUGCAAGUCGAACGAGACCUUCGGGUCUAGUGGCGCACGGGUGCGUAACGCGUGGGAACCUGCCCUUAGGUUCGGAAUAACUCCCCGAAAGGGGUGCUAAUACCGGAUAAUGUCUUCGGACCAAAGAUUUAUCGCCUUUGGAUGGGCCCGCGUUGGAUUAGCUAGUUGGUAGGGUAAAAGCCUACCAAGGCGACGAUCCAUAGCUGGUCUGAGAGGAUGAUCAGCCACACUGGGACUGAGACACGGCCCAGACUCCUACGGGAGGCAGCAGUGGGGAAUAUUGGACAACGGGCGAAAGCCUGAUCCAGCAAGGCCGCGUGAGUGAUGAAGGCCUUAGGGUUGUAAAGCUCGUUUACCCGGGAUGAUAAUGACAGUACCGGGAGAAUAAGCUCCGGCUAACUCCGUG